rnacentral:rRNA from 1 species
GACGAACGCUGGCGGCGCGCCUAACACAUGCAAGUCGAACGGGGAAGUUAGCAAUAACUUCUUAGUGGCGAACGGGUGAGUAACGCGUGGACAACCAACCUUCUGGUGGGGGACAACACUUCGAAAGGAGUGCUAAUACCGCAUGAGCUCUAUAGGCCGCAUGGUCUGCAGAGGAAAGGAGCUUCGGCUCCGCGAGAAGACGGGUCCGCGUCUGAUUAGCUAGUUGGAGGGGUAACGGCCCACCAAGGCAACGAUCAGUAGCCGGUCUGAGAGGAUGAACGGCCACACUGGGACUGAGACACGGCCCAGACUCCUACGGGAGGCAGCAGUCGAGAAUAGUCUACAAUGGCCGGAAGGCUGAUAGUGCGACGCCGCGUGUGGGAAGAAGGCCUUCGGGUCGUAAACCUCUGUCAUGGGGGACGAAGGAAGUGACGGUACCCCAAGAGGAAGCCCCUGCUAACUACGUG